AUAUAUAUAUAUAUAUAUAUAUAUAUAUAUAUAUAUAUAUAUAUAUAUAUAUAUAUAUAUAUAUAUAUAUAUAUAUAUAUAUAUAUAUAUAUGUAAAUAAAUGUAGAAAUAAAUAAGUAAAUAUAUGAUAUUUAAAGUUGAUAUGUUCGCUCCUAAUGCUCGUAAUACCAUGCGACUCCUCUGUCGCCAGGUGAUACCCAUCGUGUUCUCUGAUGGAGACACGGAUGCUUCCCCAUAUUACGUCAUAAGUGAAAGGAAGCAAAAGAAAGUUCUCAUACAUAACACUUUCUUUACACAACUGAGGGCCCGCUUCUCCUCAGGAUGUUGUUUACCUAUAAGAAUUUUUCACAAUUUUUACUGAUCUUCCGUACUAAUUACGGCCAUACGUCUUUAAGACCACCUACCUGGUGACGUUGAAUAAUUAUGCCCUGGCAAAGGCUUAUUACUUCCGGUGUGACGAAUCAGAAGUAUACGACAUACAAUUUGUAGUUCUGACGUUAAAUAAAAUUAGAAUACCCAAGGCUUCUUACAAACUGUAAUGAUUACAAGACACUAAAGAUACCAGAAGUGGUGGCCUCUUGAAACCAGUCGAGUAUCCCCACACACUUGCCACAGCAUAUAUAAAGAGUACCUUUAGUUAAAGCUGUAUUCCUGCAUCUCCCUUUCUCCUAUCACCAUGAAGCUGGUGUCACUGAUCAUGAUUGUGCUGGUGGCCGUGCUGGGUCUGGUGGAGGUCGCGUCAACGUUGCCCAGUCCGCAUCCAGUGGCUAAUCCUGAUCCAUUUUUCAUUUAUAAGAGUUAUAGGUUCCCUCCUUAUUAUUAUCGCUUCAGAAAUAUUGUCUUUGGUUAAAAGAAAUCAUCUAUGUUCAAGUGUGAAAAAAAAAAAAAUAUCACUAAGUCAGUUUACUAAGAGUAAUCAAUUAAUUAGAAAAAAUAAAUAAAAAUAAAAAUAAAAAAAUAACACUUAGUAUAUAUUAAAGACUGCGCGCGCGCACACACACACACACACACACACACACAUUAUAUAUAGGGAGGUGUACAGGCACAACAAUGAAACCAUACUGAAUUUAUUCUUCGUGACGUUUUAGGAUAUUCAAGCGCCUCAUCUUUAUGCAACGUUAGAAAUAAUUAGAAAAUAAUAAAAUAUGAACCAAAAAAAAA